UACGGAGGGGGCGAGCGUUAUUCGGAAUUAUUGGGCGUAAAGCGCGUGUAGGCGGCUUGGCAAGUCGGGUGUGAAAGCCCUCAGCUCAACUGAGGAAGUGCGCCCGAAACUGCUGAGCUUGAGUGCCGGAGAGGAUGGCGGAAUACCCCAAGUAGAGGUGAAAUUCGUAGAUAUGGGGUGGAACACCGGUGGCGAAGGCGGCCAUCUGGACGGUAACUGACGCUGAGACGCGAAAGCGUGGGUAGCAAACAGG
rnacentral:rRNA from 1 species